AAAAGCGAGUGAAGAGAGCGCGACGGCGGCGGCGGCGGCGGCGCAGCUAUUGCUGGACGGCCAGUGGGAGAGCGAGGCCUGAGCCUCUGCGUCUAGGUGAGAAGGGGGUGCGCCAGCGGGAGCGGCCGGGCUGCGGGCUCCUCCUCGCCUGGCUCGGGAAGUGGUUGCGGGAGCUCGGGCUGCAGGCCUGGCCGAGGCGGGGGCGCCGACCAGCCGUCCCGCCCCCGCCCCCGCCCGGGUACGCCCAGAAGUGAGGGCGCCCGCCUCACCCCGGGUGGUCUCUGCCCCUCUUUGCCCCGCCGCCGCCCUUCACAGGGCCGGGACCGCGUGGGGGACGUACGGUGGGGCCUGGUUUGCAGCCGCGGAGCCCGGGGAGCCGCCUGGGGUGGGAGGCCGCUAGAGGUGGCGAAGUAUAACAAUACCUAAGUGCUGAGGCGACUUGCAGUAGAGAAGUAAUCUGAGUGGCGUGGAGUGAAUCAGGGAAGGUUUCCUGAAAGAGGUGAGUUUUGAGCCAUCAUGUGAACUAGAAGUUGGGAUGUGGGUUAUUACAAGACAUGAGGAUGACAUUCCAGUAGUUUGUACUUGGUAUAAGCAACUGUGGACAAGAGUGACAAAUUAAAAAUGGUUUUUAAGGAUGAUUGAAGAUUCGAAUGAAGAUUUAGGGGUUUGGAAAUCAACCAAGGCUAUGUUGCAGCUUAGCUGAUAAAUAAUUUUUUAUGUUGGUUAGGAGAGAAAAUUAACAGUUGAUAAUGGAUUGGAGAUAGGUAGUAAAGGAAAGAGCAUAAAAUAUUUGAUAGUUAUAGGAGAAUGAAGUGAAAGUAAGGUUAUUGAGAGGUAGGUUUAACAGUCAACCAUAUAUCAUAAGUUGGAAACAUUUUUGAGUCCUGUG
rnacentral:lncRNA from 1 species